rnacentral:rRNA from 1 species
UACGGAGGGUGCGAGCGUUGUCCGGAAUCACUGGGCGUAAAGGGCGCGUAGGUGGCCUGGUAAGUAGGGGGUGAAAUCCUGCGGCUUAACCGCAGGGCUGCCUUCUAAACUGUCAGGCUUGAGCACAGUAGAGGCAGGUGGAAUUCCCGGUGUAGCGGUGGAAUGCGUAGAGAUCGGGAAGAACAUCAGUGGCGAAGGCGGCCUGCUGGGCUGUUGCUGACGCUGAGGCGCGACAGCGUGGGGAGCAAACAGG